rnacentral:lncRNA from 1 species
GAGCACGGCAACCUUGACUUCCCCCUAUCUGCCAACAACAUCAAAUCAGUCAUACUGGUAUAUAACUAUUUCUUGUCAUUUUUGUUAUUUCAAGCUUCAGCAAUUAAUGCAAUAACUAUUCAUUUGGCACCAUAACUAAAAAUUCAUUAUCCACUUUCAGGACAUAUUUGCUGCAGGAAGUGAAACAUCAUCAACAAUUGUUGAAUGGGCGAUGUCAGAACUGCUGAAGAAUCCAGGAUCAAUGGAAAAGGCUAAAGCUGAGGUGAGAGAUGUCUUUAAAGGCAAAGGAUAUGUGGAUGAAGAGAGCUUUCAUGAACUAAAGUUCCUUAAAUCAGUUAUUAAGGAAACAUUAAGGCUGCACAAUCCUGUGCCUUUGAUACCAAGGGAAUGCCGUGAGAACUGUAAGCUUGGUGGAUAUGAGAUACCUGCGAAGACUAAAGUCCUGAUCAAUUCAUGGGCAAUUACAAGGGAUCCUAGACACUGGAGUGAACCUGAUAAAUUUAAUCCAGAAAGGUUCCUCAAUAGCUCACUUGACUUUAAAGGAACAGAUUUCCAAAAUAUUCCAUUUGGUGCAGGAAGGAGGAUAUGUCCAGGCAUAUCAUUUGCUCAUGCUAAUAUUGAAAUGCAACUUGCCCAAUUCUUGUACCAUUUCGAUUGGAAGCUCCCCAAUGGAAUGAAGCAUGAAGAACUGGACAUGACAGAUGCGCCUGGUUUAACAAUAAGGAGGAAACACGACCUGUUCGCGAUUCCAAUUCCUUAUCAUCCUUGUCCCUCUUGAAUAAAACAAAGUAUCAGAUGUUCAUUUGGCUAAUAUUGGUUUAAGCCAUUGUGAUAUAUAGUGUUAGUACUACUAAGGUCUUUAUUCUGUUAAAUUAUGGCAUAGUCUGUAAGGGUUAAAGCUUGGUUGUUGUAUGGUAAACCGUAAUGAAUUAAGGUUGAUGUCUUGCAAAAGUAAAGAGCUCUUCUAUUGUUUGGAAUGCAAGAAUAUAUCUGGAACGACCCAACUUCGAUCGCUACCAGCGUCCGAGACCUCCUGGAGAUCCUGCCAAGUCUAGAAUAAGUCUUUAUGAAAUUCUCGAGACAUUUAUUAAAUAUGCUCUCACGUAUGUAAGCGAUUAAUAAUAAAAAUAAUUGUACUACAAAUUUUCCCAUUUCAAAUAAUGACAAAUAAGUGUCAACCACAAGGUUUUUAACAAUACAUAUUCAUGAAUUAACAAUAAUUCACAACAUCUAAAAAUCUUAUGUAACUCGACCCUAGACAGCGGAGCUACUCGGAUAGAAUGCUAUGAGAUGCCUUUACCUAUCCAUGGUGGACCGUGCGCGUCGAUGAUUUCACGCUAGGCUGAUCUCUAUCUGUAAAAAGGGAAAAAUGAGGGGUGUGAGUCUCAUAGACUCAAUGAUCAUCAGCUCUGUGAGUAGAGCGUAGAUGAGAAACAGGCAAUAAGAUAGAGAUUUUGAAUAAUAAAAAUUGCAAGAGUAGAUAAAAAUAUUUAAUUCAAACGAAGAAAUUAUGCCUUAUAUAUAUAAGAAAAUAUCGAGAAUCUCUUGUAAGUCGUAAUCAACCAUAAUGUAUAUCAAAUCAAGUAAGUAAACUUUUGUGCAGCAAGAAGGUUAAUAACCAUUUUCAAACUAAAUCAGUAAAAUAUCAUUUUAAACCUCAUGUUUGUAAAAGAUCUCUACAGUUGAAAUUAUCUCAUGUAAUACUCAAAUCAAAUCAAUAAAGUUGGGCAAGCUCCCGCAAAACCAAACAGUAACUAGGUUUAUACACAGUUCGUAAAUCGCCUCGCACGCGAGGGUAAAAUUCAUAUAACAAUAAAUCCAGGGGGAGUUGCAGGAAAUCGUAUAAUUUCAUUUUCACCAUGCAUGAAAUAAGAGUUUGAAAACCCAAAGAGAUUUUUUGUCUCGAGUAGGAAAUCAAAUAAGAUCUGUGGUCCCGCUACCACGUAAUAACAUCCGGGAGCCUUGCUCCACUGGAUCCUACAUGCCAUGGCAGUCUCAACGAUGUUGGUCGACAUCGGAGAAUCAAGUGGUUGCAACCGUGUAAUCAUCUGGUGGCCUAGCCACGCAUACAUAUAUCACAGGUCGUGGUCCCCGCCACGCCUAACAGCCUGUCGACGACCCAAAGGUUCUCUAGCUAGAGCUCACUCGUGCACGAGGGUCACACUUAACCAAAGUGACAGCCAACCUAUUCUCGAAUCUCUCGGUUUAUUAAACCAUUUUAGAAAUCACUUUAUGUCCUUGAAAUCUCGUUUCAAAAUUAUUUCCAAAGCAUUGAACAUAGGGUAUGAUAAAAUCUAUCAUCAUUUCCAUAAAAUAGAAUUUAUGCAUGAAUUUCGAAAUAACAUGUAACGACCCAAGUCCAACCACUGGCCUAGUAGCUUUUUGGGCCUAAGCCACGUUGCCCUCAAAAGUUCAAGCUCAAGUUGCUUAUAGUGGUGGGCUUGGAUUAUUGUAUAGGUCUUAACAAUCACAUUCACAUCAGAUGUGGGAUGUUGGGUAUCACACAACAAUUCGCAUGGCAAAAAAGUAUCAUAAUCAUGUAUGCACACUGCACAAUGAUAAGGCACAGAUUUUGAUGUAAAACAGUGUGAAGGGCUUGUUUUCCGAUUUUCAAAACACUUUACAUAUAAUUUAUACAUAUAUAUUCAAAACAAUUUUUGAAAAUAAUUUGCAUUCACAAUUCCCUAAAAUGUCUACCAGCACAUGUUAUCCAUAAUUUUCGAGUUUAUAAUAAAUCAUACGUAUAGGUAUAUAUUUAAGAAAAUUUUAAAAUUGACACCCCCACUCACCUAAUGAUAGCGGGACACUACAUCGCUAUUUCUACUUGCCGGUCACUCGUCACUUGCUUCGGCACGUCGCUAUAGUACACUAUCUUACUUUGGACUUCCAAUUUGGGCUGGGUCGCCUAAGUCUCCACUUUCUUUUUCUCUUUUGGACUUUUCUUUUUCUUAUAUCCAUUGGGCCCUUCUCAUGGGCUCUUCC